AAUCAACGCUGGCGGCGUGCCUAACACAUGCAAGUCGAACGCGAAAGGGGCUUCGGCCCUGAGUAGAGUGGCAAACGGGUGAGUAACGCGUGGGUGACCUACCCUCGAGUGGGGGAUAACGUCUCGAAAGGGACGCUAAUACCGCAUGAUAUCCUGCCUUUGAACAGGUGGAGAUCAAAGCCGGGGAUCGCAAGACCUGGCGCUUGAGGAGGGGCCCGCGUCCGAUUAGCUAGUUGGUGGGGUAAUGGCUCACCAAGGCGACGAUCGGUAGCCGGCCUGAGAGGGCGGACGGCCACACUGGGACUGAGACACGGCCCAGACUCCUACGGGAGGCAGCAGUGGGGAAUUGUUCGCAAUGGGCGCAAGCCUGACGACGCAACGCCGCGUGGAGGAUGAAGAUCUUCGGGUCGUAAACUCCUGUCGAGUGGGACGAACGUCCCGGGACCUAACACGUUCCGGGAGUGACGGUACUGCUAGAGGAAGCCCCGGCUAACUCCGUGCCAGCAGCCGCGGUAAUACGGGGGGGGCAAGCGUUGUUCGGAAUUACUGGGCGUAAAGGGCUCGUAGGCGGCCUGCUAAGUCGGACGUGAAAUCCCUCGGCUCAACCGAGGAACUGCGUCCGAUACUGGCUGGGCUUGAAUCCGGGAGAGGGAUGCGGAAUUCCAGGUGUAGCGGUGAAAUGCGUAGAUAUCUGGAGGAACACCGGUGGCGAAGGCGGCAUCCUGGACCGGUAUUGACGCUGAGGAGCGAAAGCCAGGGGAGCAAACGGGAUUAGAUACCCCGGUAGUCCUGGCCCUAAACGAUGAAUGCUUGGUGUGGCGGGUAUCGAUCCCCGCCGUGCCGGAGCUAACGCGGUAAGCAUUCCGCCUGGGGAGUACGGUCGCAAGGCUG
rnacentral:rRNA from 1 species